AUGGAACUCACGGUGUAGGGGUGAAAUCCGUUGAUAUCGUGGGGAACACCAAAGGCGAAGGCAGUGCACUGGGACCUUCCUGACUCUGAGAUGCGAAAGCGUGGGGAGCAAAAAGGAUUAG
rnacentral:rRNA from 1 species